rnacentral:tRNA from 1 species
GUGUAUGGCUCAGUCGGUAAAGUAUUUGCCUUGCAAGCACAAGGACCUGGGUUCAAUCCCCAGAGUUCACA